rnacentral:sRNA from 1 species
UGAAAAUAUCUGCAGGAUUACUCAGUGUAGAUAUCUUCACAACCUCCACAACUUUAUCCGCAAUGACUUCCUGGAUCUUGUGGUACUUGAUGUCAAUGUGUGAUAAUAGGUUUUUCAGUCAAUUAUCCCAAAACACCAAUCAUGUCGUUGUAGUAUUUUAGGUUGUCAAUCCAAAUGGGUGUGAUGCUAACAAUCAAGAUGUGAUCAGAAGUCACUAAGUCAAGCCAAGCAAUAACAGGUUUUGGUGUGUUCUAGCAAUCCUAAGUGAACAAGCAGGAAACAGAAAAUAAAACAGAAACAGUAAAACACUCGACCAACACAGCUCUUUGCAGAGCCCUGGGUGAGGUCGAGUGACAGGUCGAGUUACAGAAAAUGAAACAAAGAUACUCGACUGCACAGUCUGUUGCCAGACAACUGGAUGGUCGAGUAUCAGGUCGAGUAACAGUAAAGAAUUGCAGAAACUAAGCAACAGGUGACAGGAUGCAGUAAACAGCAGUAGAGUAAACAAUAAAAUCAAUCAGACAAAGAAUUCCUAAGGAUGGGGUAAUUGAGUAGUUUCGUUUCCUCAGUUUACAGGUGAUUGACAUGCUCAACAAAUUAACCCUAGACAACAAGUUCGUUAACCAAAUCUAAGUGCCACCGCAACAGAGACUCUCAAGCUAACCUAGUCCCAGACUCAAUCACCAUUGACGAGAGCUAACCUAACAGGCAUUACGAAUCAACAAGUUAAAGCCAAAACGCUCCCUGCAACCAAUACCUUGGUACAGGGUCACGAAUCUCUGGAAUUAGUGGUUCAGGCAUUUCAUCGAACACCUUUUGGGCGCGGAAAUGUCUGGGCUCAAAUUCCAGUUGAUCAGAAAGCAAUAGGCAUUAAGAACAACUAAUCCAGAAGGGAUCUAUCAAUCAAUACUCAAUCACCUAGCAUACUGAGAAUUCUACACUACUCUAACCCAUCCUCAGAAACCUAUUCACUACUCAGACAUCAUCACAGAAAGCAUAAACGUUGAACAGGUUGAAGACAUGAUAACAGCAGUAUGAUAACAGAAUGAAUAACAGUAAACAAAAAUCAAGAACAGAAACUGAAUAUUGAAUACUGAAUAGAUAAAGAGAAAUCCGGAUUACAAAAAGUCUAGAACACAAGGUCUGCGGAAAUAAAAACUAGGUAAAAACCAACUUGUCUGCGAAAAUGAGAAGUACAUGCUACUUAUAGCCAAAUAUCCCGAAACCCUAAUACUCAAAACGACGAAGUAUUUGGACGGGUUAAGAACUGUACUCGACCCACGUGGUCGAGUGAGAGCUCGAGUGAAUAGCUGGAGUCUUCUUUUCUUCCUUGUGCUCGAGUGUCUGGAUGAGUGCGGAAUGAAGAAGGCUCUGAAGCUUGUCAUCGAGUAUGCAGUCGAGUGGUGUGAUGGAGAUACUCGACCUCUGGGUAGAGUGAGGAGGUCGAGUGAUUGUCUGAUGAUGGAGGUGAAGGCACUCGACCUCGAGGUCGAGUGAAGUGAUCGAGUGACCGUCUGGUGAUGGAGAUGAUGGCACUCGACCACGGGGUCGAGUGGUUAGGUGAAGUGGUGAUGUGCUCUACUCGACCUGGUUGUCGAGUGGUCUCUUGAGAUCUUGAAGCUCCUACUCGACCUCUUGGUCGAGUGGUUUGUCAUAAUCAGGUCUGCUUCUUCCAGAUAGCUCGUCAACAGCUCCAAAUCACCUGAAAUCAACGCAAAUAUGCAACAUGCAUGCAAAACUAUCCUAAACAUGCAAAGUGAUGACAAAUGAUGUGAAAUGGUAUAAAACAGUGAUGAUAUGAUGCUAAAGUGAUGACAAAUGGAUGCUCAAAACAUGCAAAAUACACACUUAUCAACUCCCCCAAACUUAGUCUUUGCUUGCCCUCAAGCAAACAAUCAAGAACAAGCUGGAGGUGAGGUUUGAAAGCGGGGACUCAGAGCCAAAGCACUAGAUAAACCAGAUGAAAUCAAUGUCCAAGUUGAAAGUUCUAAGCUGCAAGAUCGAAUUCUACUUAAAAACGUUAGCCAUGCCUCAUUAAUCAAUCAAUCCGACUCAUAUGCUCGACCUACAUAAGUUUUCAAAUCCACCAAUCCCUUUAACAUUCAUUAGUUCUGGAACGUGAAUCAAGCAAUGCAUCAUCAAAGAACUCAUUUGGCUAAGGUAAAAGGUCAAGAGACAAAGAUGGUCCCUUACAGAAUAGGCUUUAGUAACAGGGGAUCUCUCAAAAAAAAAAA